rnacentral:rRNA from 1 species
CGACCGGCGCACGGGUGAGUAACACGUAUCCAACCUGCCGAUAACUCGGGGAUAGCCUUUCGAAAGAAAGAUUAAUAUCCGAUAGGAUAUCAAGAUCGCAUGAUCUUGAUAUUAAAGAAUUUCGGUUAUCGAUGGGGAUGCGUUCCAUUAGUUAGUUGGCGGGGUAACGGCCCACCAAGACGACGAUGGAUAGGGGUUCUGAGAGGAAGGUCCCCCACAUUGGAACUGAGACACGGUCCAAACUCCUACGGGAGGCAGCAG